AGANGGGUUAAUGUUGAGGACAAAUGUCUUUGUGUGCGACAGAUUAUACAGCCCCGUGGUGCGUCUGCCAUUUGGAUACAUGCAGAAUGCAGAAGCUAAUUGAUUUGCAGCUACAGAGAUAAAACCGGUUCACACCAGUAAAGGUCAGUGGUGCCCAGCUGGACGAGACGGCAGUUGAAGCCCAUCAAUAAUCCAGGACUUUAACUAAUAGUUGUUUUUGGCUGCUAAAAGCAUAAAGCUGGAACAGUGUGAUUAUCAGCAGUGUCAACUCAUGCUUCAGUUUUCUUAAACAGACCUACAGAUCAGAGAAGUCCACCAUCAACUGCCUUAAACUGUCUUAAUACCUAAAAUCUUAGUUAUAGACCCUUGCUGCUAUGUGGUUUUUUUUAGCUGCUAUUGUUUUAUUGUUGUAUUUGUAUCUCAGUUUAAAUGUCAUUUUAAUUUGUUUUUUAAUCUCAAAUAAAUUCCACUUGGAAUCAAA